AUAACGGAUGUACCCGGGUAUAACGGAUGUUGUAUAUCGACUGAGACUCGUUAACCCUAAUUCGGCUCCCCCAUUGCAACACGACACCAGCCAUUCCUUCUCUGUCGACGAAGCCUAUCAUUCAAUGAUUCAAUCGGUACUCUUCUUACAGGUAAUAUAUUUGAAAAAUUCAAAUCCUCCCCAAGUUUAAUAUUGUAUUUGUGCACAGACGAUCCUAUAUAUUUGCAAAAUCAACAAGACAUAUAUUCUUAAUUAUUAUAUUUAUUUACAUCCAUGGAAACCCAAUAGCUUCAUUUUCUCGAUCAACCAUUUGAAUUCACUAAUUUUUAUCUUUGCCUCUGUUGGAUCCGAUGAAGAUGGUGUGUGCUUUCUCUGUUUUUUUUUUUUUUUUUUUUUUUCCUCUCUCUCUCUCUCUACUAUAUACACACUCAUCUUUAAAACAUGGUCUUACUUAAAGGAUAUACUGGUAAUUGAAAGCUUUUGAGAAAGAAUGGAAUAUCAAUUAUUGAAUGCCCUAAAGGUGUUCGAUGUAAUGUCUACAUAGGUUAUAUCUCUGAUUGUAUUAUGUUUUCAAUCGCCAUAUGAUUGGUUAUUAUUCAUGGCUAUUAGCAAUCCAGAAAAUGCCAAAAUAAUGUACAAUUUUGCAUCAUAUUUAUUACAGUUGAAACCGAUGAUUUUAGGCUUAUUUUAUAACCCAAUUCGAUUGUUCCAUGAAUGAAUUUUAGAAAUUAUUAUGUGCAGUCAAUAAGACGCUGAAAGAUACAAGUGUCAUGUACAGCAUAUUUACCAGCCCUUUCCAUUGAGGUAAAUUUUUAAUUGUAAUUCUAAUUUCAUGAAUGCAAAUGAUACAUAUUCAUGGAUAUUCAUUCUUUUUUUCUUAUAAAAGAUGAUAACAUCGGUUUAUAUUUGAAGUUCUAUAUCAUCCAAAAUCUAACCAAAAUAUGAUAUUUCCUAAUAUGCCCUUCCUUCUCUGCUUGGUAUAUUUAAUGUCAAUUACUAACUUUUGAAAGUGUGUUUGGGUUUCGUUCCUAGAAUCUUUGUUGGGUUAUUACAGAAACCUAAGAUUUGGUGAUGGAAAACUUGAAUUUGAUGUUGCCCUCUAGGUGUUUGAUAAAAUGCCCAUGAGAAGUUCUUUUUCAUAUUAAACACUGUGACACGGUAUGUUUUACUUGCUUUGCUCCUUCAUUAUUUAUUCCAAAAAAAUCCAUGAGUUAGUAUUUCUUUUUCUAUUAAUUUUAAAUGCAAGUAACUAAUAUCCAAAAUUCCAAUGUAGAGAAACUGUAGGUAGACAGUGAAGACAUUAUGAUGUUGGAAGAUUGAAGAGUUUGAACUCCAUCUCAAACUUUUGGGCAUGGAUGUUUGAAAAAUAUUAAUUGCUUCCUUAGAGCUUCGUGUUUGUAAGUUUGGACUCUAAUCAAAAGACGACAAUUUUUAAGUAAUUUUGACUAUUUGAUCACUCAAUUAUAUCUCAACUCUUAAAAAUGUUAUUAUUUUUAUUUAAUUUUGCGGUUGUUUCUCUCAAAAUCAUGUCAUUUUCUCUAUUAAUAUAUAAAUUGAAUCUAACAUCAAUGCACCAGUUCCUUAAUCAAAGUGGGUGCAUGAUGUUAAUGCUAUUUUUUUUAAAUGAUGGUAAAUUUGAUUAAUAUUAUUAUGUAGUGCACGAUAAGUUUAUUCAUUUUUAACAAGGAUUUAUCAUAUGUUGGCCUUUAUGUUCCUAAGUAUAUGUUACGAAGUUUAAUACAUGUAUUGGUUUUUCUUGGAAUAAUAUAUUUCUACUUCAAAUGGUUAAAAUAGUUUAAUAUAUUAUUUCAAAUAGUUUUUUGCCCAAUAUUUAAGUGAUAUCUCAAUCUACAAAUCAAGUUAUUAUAAGUUAUAAUGAAUCUUUUGUUGUUUUUUAUUUAAAUUAAUAUGUUUGAUACUCUGCAUAUAACCAUGUGAUUGAGGUUUAACUCGAAUUCAAGUUAGAGCCAAGUUUGUAUGGUGCGAAUUUUGAUACGAUUUUAGUUGAAAUACUUAAGUUGAUUUUAAGCUAUAAUCUCCCAGAUUCAAUUGAUUAGAAUUCAUUAUUAAAUGAGGUUGAAGGUACAAUGAGUUUACAUUUUUGCAUAUCACCAUUAUUAUAAAGUAAAUUUCAACUCUUUAUAAAUUAAAGAAUAUAAUGUAAGCAGUUUUGUUGGGAUAAUAUUUUGCAACCAGACAUGAGGAGUAGAAAAAACUUAAAUGCACUUUAGUCAUUUCGGUCCUUUCAAUAAGGUUAAAGAAAAGAUAAGUUGUGUUUUGUUCAUUUUAAACGUCGAUUAAAGGUACAAAAGAAUGCAUUUUGACCAUUUUCUAUAUUUUGACCAAGUAAGUCGAUUUUUGUCAAAAUAACCAUUUUGGUCAUUUUGCUCAUUUCAACCAUGCAAAAUAUAUAUUCUGGUCAUUUUAAACUCACAUUCACCAUAAAAAAUAAUGUAUUUGGACCAUUUUUGUCAUUUUUACCAUUCAAAUCAACUUUUGUUAUUUUGGUCAUUUCAAUCGGUCAAAACAAUUAGAAGUCGGGAAGUAUACUUUAUUUAUUUAUUUAUUUUUUUAUUAAACCAUUAUAAUUAAAAAAACAUAAAUAAAAAGCCAGCCAAGACACCAGAAGUGGCAACAUUCAUAUAGAACCCAAAACGGUACCAAGGGCAAAAAGGUCAAUGUUUGCCACUAGGCUUGAAAGCACCUGCAAAGCGAUGGUGCGGAUAUUGAAAUAUUUUAUCAUGUAUCUUUGUUAAAUGCACGAAAUAACAACUUAUUGUCAUAUAUUUAUUUAUAUAUUAUUCUACUUUCAUUUCUUCCUAUUAUAAUAUUAUACUUUAAAAAGUGCAAUUUUGUAACGGAUAAAAAUGAUUUGUUUAAGUAAUAUUUGAGAAUAUAAUAAGUUUCUUUGUUUUUUUAAACAAGUUUCCAGUUUUAAUUUUUAAGGACGGAUCCAAAGCAAUAUGUUCGCCAUAUAUAUUUCUCAUUAAUGCCUUUAGUACUAUUUUGUUAUUUAGUAUGCUUUUAGUAAAAAAAAAUUGCAUUGCUAAUAUGUCUUCCUGUUAUAAGGCAAAAUGCAAUUUUAUUUUUCUUAUUAAGAUACCUACCAAGUACAUUGAAAUAUCUUCCUAGGAUAUAUCUAUUAAUCACAUUAUGAAUGGU
rnacentral:lncRNA from 1 species